GUGGCGUAGGGGAAUCAGCAGUUACUGGAAUAGUUGUAGGGGCCUUGCUAGGCGCAGGAUUGUUGAUGGCCUUCUACAUUUUCAGGAAAAAGUACAAAAUAACCAUUGAAAGAAGAAACCAGCUGGAAGAGUACAACAUCGGCAAGCACCGGCAAUUACGAGAAGACUCCAUCAGGUCUCACUUUUCUGCUGCAUGAAAUAGAAAAGAAUUGCUCUUGUGGGGAUAUAUAUACCUGUAGACAAAUGGACGCUACCAAAGACUGCCACUGAAAAAAAAGAAGUGCGUUUAAGGACUCCACCUUUUAAAAGUGGAGUCGCCUUGUCUUAAUUUUUUUUUUCAGAAACUCAGGAAAUGAUUUACUAGCCACAUUAUGCCACAUGGCCUUUUUUAUCUCAUGGAAAGAUGAAUGAUUAAAAGAAAAGAUACCCGU